rnacentral:lncRNA from 1 species
CCCUUACUUGAGAACACCCACAGCUAUCUCCAGUACUACCACCAACCACAAAAUAAAGCAUGUACAAGGAAAAUUUAUUCUCUUCUUUAUUCUACCUAACAACAAGUAGAAACUGAAUAAGCAUUUCAUGAACAGCCCAGGCUCAGCUUGAUGACAUGCUUGUUGAAGUUGUUUGACUAGCAAGUGAAUAAAACUCAAACAUAUUUUAUUGUUUGAUUCAUAAAAGGGGCAAGCCUGAACAUGGUGGUUUCACAAAAAUAAACAGAAGCUGUCUCAGUUCGAUAACAAGUUUGUCGAUCCAGUUAAUUAACAAGAUGAGCUUGAACAUUUGUUGUCAAGCUCAGUAUGUGCGUUGAUACCUCUUCUAUAUAAAAAGGAAUCUGAGCGGCUUUCUAUUUGGCUUGGCUGGCUUGUUUGCACCACUAAGCAACACCCAA